GAGAUACAUCAAACCAGGAGACUCUGGCAGCUGAGCUGCUUCGGAUCUUUGGAUCAAACAUGACUCACUACAAGUGCUUUUUUUGACAUUUCAACUGUUUCUCUCACAAUUCUUCCUGGAACUACUACCACAGAAGACAGGACAACUGCUGGUGGGCUUGCUGGCACCAGCUUUCUGACUAACCUUCUCAGCCCAGUCCCUGGAAGACACUUCAUCAGGUAUAACCUAAGAAAUGGCCCUCUGUUGGGCCAUUCUAACCAGAACCUGUGGGUAAGUACCCACUGCCUAGUCAAACGCAGACCUACAAGGCUCACUGACCAGGUUUCCAGCCCAUCUCAGACCAGAAAUGCAGAUGGUCACCUUGGAGAACUAACAGGUCAUGAGUUUCCAUAUGUCAGCACAGUCCAUUACAUGAACUGGAUCCAAGAAAUAAGAAGGUCUGUGGAGAGGCCACAUUAUCAUGGUGGGACGAGACAUGUACCCCAGCUGAGAAAAGAGCGGGAGAAGAGGGCUUGUGAUCUUAUAUCCUUGUCAAGGGUGUCCAGUGAUGGGCCAGCGAGAUGGUUCAGUGGACAGAGUCACUGACAACUGGAGUGUGGUCUCUGGAAUAUACAUGGUGGAAGGAGAGAACUGACGCCUCAAGUUGUCCUUUAACCGCCACAUGAACGCCACAGCUCACUGCACACAUGCCUCCACAAUCAAUCAAUCAACCACUCAAUCAAUCAAUCGAUAAACAAAUGUAUUAGGAUGCUAAAAGAAUAAAAGUAAAAUCCCAGAGAGGAGGUGACUGGGAUUUUUGCAGUUGGUGGUA